rnacentral:rRNA from 1 species
GCCACGCCCGCUCAGAACUACAAAGGAAGUUGACGGGGGCCCGGCACAAGCGGUGGAGUAUGUGGUUUAAUUCGAUGCAACGCAAAGAACCUUAAACCUGGUCUUGACAUCCCGGAGACCCUUAGGAAACUAGGGGGUGCUUCCAUCUGGAAGAAUCUGGAGACAGGUGCUGCAUGGCUGUCGUCAGCUCGUGUCGUGAGAUGUUGGGUUAAGUCCCGCAACGAGCGCAACCCUUGCCUUUAGUUGCCAGCAGUUCGGCUGGGCACUCUAAAGGGACUGCCGGUGUUAAACCGGAGGAAGGUGGGGAUGACGUCAAGUCCUCAUGGCCUUUAUGACCAGGGCUACACACGUACUACAAUGGCCGAUACAAAGGGCAGCGACACUGCGAGGUGAAGCCAAUCCCGUAAAAUCGGUCUCAGUCCGGAUUGGAGUCUGCAACUCGACUCCAUGAAGUUGGAAUCGCUAGUAAUCGUGGAUCAGCAUGCCACGGUGAAUACGUUCCCGGGCCUU